UAUCUUGUGAAGAUUCCUACCGUUAUCGUGACAUGCCCGGAUCAAGUCGCAGUGUAUCGAGGUCGCCGAGUCCCCGCAGGGAGAGAUCACGUGAUGUGGACAGAAGAAGAAGUCCUCACAGAUCUGGUUCCAGGAGUGUGUCCCCGAGAUCCCCGCCACCCAGGUCUCCUCCCCCCAGAAGCAGAGGCGGAGGGGGUAGAAGUGGAGGGGGAGGUGGGGAGCGGUAUAGUCGGAGGUCCAGGUCGACGUCGCUGAUGUCAGAUAGGAAGAGACAUGUUGGCACCAGGGUAGAAGAUGACCCCGAACCCUCAAAGUGUCUGGGAAUCUUCGGUCUCAGUACUCGCACUUCGGAGGCCGACUUGAGAGAUGUAUUUGACAGAUACCACGGCUUCUCCGGAGUCAAGUUGAUUACUGACCACUACACGCACGUAUCCAGAGGCUUCGGAUUCAUCAAUUUUGAGACUUCUGAUGAUGCAAGAUACGUGAAGGACAAAUGUAUUGGCAUGGACAUUGACGGGAGAAACAUCCGCAUUGACUUCUCGACGACGUCACGGCCUCACACACCCACACCAGGGAAGUACAUGGGAAGACCGAACCCUUCCUACUACCAAUCGCAGAGGAGAGGACCCCCGCCACCAAGAUAUGAAGGCGGUGGUCGUGGCGGAGGAUACUAUGAGUACGAAGGACGAGGCGGAGGAGGAGGCGGUGGACGCUACGGAGACAGAGACAGAUAUGCUCCCCAACCCCGGUACGAGAGCAGAAGGCGAUCCAGGUCACGCUCCCCUCGAAGGUCUUACUCCAGAUCACCCCCAAGGCGAUACUAUUAAACGAUGAUGCUGAUCAUGAUGAUGAAGUGAGAAAAAACUGCAAUAGAAGGCUGGGCUGCUCUUACAUUUUGAGAGCUGCACAAUUUGAAGAUUGAUAGAUUGAUGAUAAAAUGCAAACAGAACAUAGAGAAGACACGGAGAAAUGUGUGAAGAUUUGAAAAAGUGAAAUUGAAGAUGAUGAAAUGAAAUAGAAGAUUAACUGAAGAUGAUCAAUUGAAAUGAAAAUGUUUGAAGAGUUGGGUUGGAGAUGGUUUUUGGAAAAUUAUUGCAGAGCGAUUGAUAACUCGAAAGACGGAUGGUUGAAAAAAAUGGAUUGUGAAAAGUGAAUUGAAAGUGAAGAUAAACGGGCGGGUGAAAAGAGGUCGAAGAUUAACAUUAACAGAGAAUUGGUAAGUUGCGCAAAGAAACAAACAUGUAUUGUAGUUAGAUAUUGUGAUUCUUGCAUGCUCCUUUCCCUUGCCAAAUAAACUCUUCAAUUGGUUUCUGGAACGUAGAUUGUUCCCUCCGACAUUCAUAGGCUACACUAUUUUUC